AGUAUAAGCAACUAUACGGUGAAACUGCGAAUGGCUCAUUAAAUCAGUUAUCGUUUAUUUGAUAGUACCUUACUACAUGGAUAACCGUGGUAAUUCUAGAGCUAAUACAUGCUAAAAACCCCGACUUCGGGAGGGGUGUAUUUAUUAGAUAAAAAACCAACGCCCUUCGGGGCUCCGUGGUGAAUCAUAAUAACUUAACGAAUCGCAUGGCCUUGCGCCGGCGAUGGUUCAUUCAAAUUUCUGCCCUAUCAACUUUCGAUGGUAGGAUAGUGGCCUACCAUGGUCUCAACGGGUAACGGGGAAUUAGGGUUCGACUCCGGAGAGGGAGCCUGAGAAACGGCUACCACAUCCAAGGAAGGCAGCAGGCGCGCAAAUUACCCAAUGCCGACACGGCGAGGUAGUGACAAUAAAUACUGAUACAGGGCUCUUUUGGGUCUUGUAAUUGGGAUGAGUACAAUUUAAAUUCCUUAACGAGGAACAAUUGGAGGGCAAGUCUGGUGCCAGCAGCCGCGGUAAUUCCAGCUCCAAUAGCGUAUAUUAAAGUUGUUGCAGUUAAAAAGCUCGUAGUUGAACCUUGGGCCUGGCUGGCCGGUCCGCCUCACCGCGUGUACUGGUCCGGCCGGGCCUUUCCUUCUGGGGAGCCGCAUGGCCUUCACUGGCCGUGUCGGGGAACCAGGACUUUUACUUUGAAAAAAUUAGAGUGUUCAAAGCAGGCCUUUGCUCGGAUACAUUAGCAUGGAAUAAUAGAAUAGGACGCGCGAUUCUAUUUUGUUGGUUUCUAGGACCGCCGUAAUGAUUAGUAGGGAUAGUCGGGGGCAUCUGUA
rnacentral:rRNA from 1 species